GUGCCAACCUUACACCUACGUCCACUCCCCAAGCUCCUACUUGAGAAUUCAAAUCUACUAAACCUAUUCAACAAGAAUACAACAUCGGUAUCUCCGACUCUAGCUAUCCCAAGCUAGAACAUUUAUUUUUCGAAUACAAGCUAACCCAAUACAAUCCGAUUCAAGGUUCGGAUCAAUCUUUCCAUAUUUUGGAACCCUUCCAAAACUAAAGAUCAAC
rnacentral:lncRNA from 1 species